rnacentral:rRNA from 1 species
UAUUUCAGCCAUAUCACGUUGAAUGCACCGGUUCCCGCUCAAUCGCCGAAGUUAAGCAACGAAGAGCCUAGUUAAUACGUAGAUGGGUGACUGCUUGAGAAACCUGUGUGCAAUAA